UACAGAGGUCUCAAGCGUUGUUCGGAUUCAUUGGGCGUAAAGGGCGCGUAGGCGGCGCGGUAAGUCGGGUGUGAAAUCUCGGAGCUUAACUCCGAAACUGCAUUCGAUACUGCCGUGCUUGAGGACUGGAGAGGAGACUGGAAUUUACGGUGUAGCGGUGAAGUGCGUAGAUAUCGUAAGGAAGACCAGUGGCGAAGGCGGGUCUCUGGACAGUUCCUGACGCUGAGGCACGAAGGUCAGGGGAGCAAACGGG
rnacentral:rRNA from 1 species